AGUGCGAGGGCAUAUCGUCCUCGCUUUUGUGUACCGUAGGGUGGUACACCAACAAGGGCUGGGCAAGACCGGUGCCAGCCGCCGCGGUAAUACCGGCAGCCCGAGUGAUGGCCGAUCUUAUUGGGCCUAAAGCGUCCGUAGCUGUUGAGCAGGUCCGUCGGGAAAUCCAGCUGCUCAACGAGUGGGUGUCCGGCGGAAACCAC
rnacentral:rRNA from 1 species